rnacentral:rRNA from 1 species
GAUGAACGCUGGCGGCGUGCCUAAUACAUGCAAGUCGAGCGAACAGACGAGGAGCUUGCUCCUUUGACGUUAGCGGCGGACGGGUGAGUAACACGUAGGUAACCUACCUAUAAGACUGGGAUAACUUCGGGAAACCGGAGCUAAUACCGGAUAAUAUUUCGAACCGCAUGGUUCGAUAGUGAAAGAUGGCUUUGCUAUCACUUAUAGAUGGACCUGCGCCGUAUUAGCUAGUUGGUAAGGUAACGGCUUACCAAGGCAACGAUACGUAGCCGACCUGAGAGGGUGAUCGGCCACACUGGAACUGAGACACGGUCCAGACGCCUACGGGAGGCAGCAGUAGGGAAUCUUCCGCAAUGGGCGAAAGCCUGACGGAGCAACGCCGCGUGAGUGAUGAAGGUCUUCGGAUCGUAAAACUCUGUUAUUAGGGAAGAACAAACGUGUAAGUAACUGUGCACGUCUUGACGGUACCUAAUCAGAAAGCCACGGCUAACUACGUG